CAGGAUCAGAAGAGGACCACGUACCGAGGUUUGGUCGUCUGUGAGAAGGUCUAACUGUGCUGAGCGGAAGGUUGAGAACGCACCUGUUCGAAGAGAUGGUGAGACCACUGGGGGGAAGGCCACAAAAUAAUCUGAACCGGCAUGCCUCCAAGUGCUGAUGAGAAAGAUCGUCCACACCAAGGGGGUCUCCGGACAGAGGCUGAAAGCUCCAGAAGGGCACACGUUGGCGUUCCAGGCGUCCUGAGACAAUGCACGGCAGAGUGCUGGGCUCAUGUGUGGAGUACUGUUCCUGAGCACAUUUCAUCUGAGCCUUUAAUGGUGGAGAAACAACUGGACAAGUACAGGCUGAGGAACAUCUAUGGGACCACGGCCCCCCGCUCUUUUCAUGAGUGUGAAUGCUGUAAACACAGCAACAGGGGACGGUUGAUUAGAUAGAGAACCCUACACGGAUGUGGCAGCUGGCUGCACACCUUGAUCCUUGACUGGAUCGUGGAUUGGGCAAAAUAAACAGUUUAAAAGAUAUUUGGGGAGAAUGGGAAAUUGUAAAAUGGACCCAAAAUUAAAUAACAUGAUAUACAUGCUAAA